rnacentral:rRNA from 1 species
UACGAAGGGGGCUAGCGUUGCUCGGAAUCACUGGGCGUAAAGCGCACGUAGGCGGAUCUUUAAGUCAGGGGUGAAAUCCUGGAGCUCAACUCCAGAACUGCCUUUGAUACUGGGGAUCUCGAGUCCGGAAGAGGUGAGUGGAACUCCGAGUGUAGAGGUGAAAUUCGUAGAUAUUCGGAAGAACACCAGUGGCGAAGGCGGCUCACUGGUCCGGUACUGACGCUGAGGUGCG